rnacentral:snRNA from 1 species
GUGCUCGCUUCGGCAGCACAUAUACUAAAAUUGGAACGAUACAGAGAUUAGCAUGGCCCCUGUGCAAGGAUGACACGCAAAUUCGUGAAGUGUUCCAUAUUAAA